AGCGAACGCUGGCGGCAGGCCUACCACAUGCAAGUCGAACGGACACUUCGGGGUUAGUGGCGGACGGGUGAGUAACACGUGGGAACGUGCCUUUAGGUUCGGAAUAGCUCCUGGACACGGGUGGUAAUGCCGAAUGUGCCUUUCGGUGGAAAGAUUUAUCGCCUCUAGAGCGGCCCGCGUCUGAUUAGAUAGUUGGUGAGGGAAUGGUUCACCAAGGCGACGAUCAGUAGCUGGUCGGAGAGGAUGACCGGACACAAUGGUACUGAGACACGGCCCAAACACCUACGGGAGGCAGCAAUGGGGGAUCUUGCGCAAUGGGCGAAAGCCUGACGCAGCCAUGCCGCGUGGAUGAGGAAGGUCUUAGGAUGGUAAAAUCCGUUCGCCGGUGAAGAUAAUGACUGUAGCCGGAGAAGAAGCCCCGGCUAACUUCGUGCCAGCCGCCGCCGUAACAC
rnacentral:rRNA from 1 species